rnacentral:rRNA from 2 species
AACGACUCUCGGCAACGGAUAUCUCGGCUCUCGCAUCGAUGAAGAACGUAGCGAAAUGCGAUACUUGGUGUGAAUUGCAGAAUCCCGUGAACCAUCGAGUCUUUGAACGCAAGUUGCGCCCGAAGCCUUUUGGCCGAGGGCACGUCUGCCUGGGCGUCACAC